CACGGGGGGAGCAAGCGUUGUUCGGAAUCACUGGGCGUAAAGGGCGUGUAGGCGGUUGAGUAAGUGGAAUGUGAAAUGCCCAGGCUCACCCUGGGACCUGCAUUCCAUACUGCUCAGCUCGAGUAUGGGAGAGGAUGAGGGAAUUCCUGGUGUAGCGGUGAAAUGCGUAGAUAUCAGGAGGAACACCGGUGGCGAAAGCGCUCAUCUGGCCCAAUACUGACGCUGAGGCGCGAAAGCUAGGGGAGCAAACGGG
rnacentral:rRNA from 1 species